rnacentral:rRNA from 1 species
CGACCGGCGCACGUGUGAGUAACGCGUAUGCAACUUACCUAUCAGAGGGGGAUAGCCCGGCGAAAGUCGGAUUAAUACCCCAUGAAACAGGGGUCCCGCAUGGGAAUAUUUGUUAAAGAUUCAUCGCUGAUAGAUAGGCAUGCGUUCCAUUAGGCAGUUGGCGGGGUAACGGCCCACCAAACCGACGAUGGAUAGGGGUUCUGAGAGGAAGGUCCCCCACAUUGGUACUGAGACACGGACCAA